rnacentral:rRNA from 1 species
AAAAUCAAUAGUUUUUUAAUUGAAAACUUGAAUGAAAGAAUUGAUAAAAUAUAAUCUGUCUCUAAUUUAUUUAAUUUGAAUUUAAAUUUAAAGUUAAAAUGCUUUAAUAAAUUUAUUAGACGAUAAGACCCUAAGAAUUUAAAAAUGUUUAUUUAAAAUUUUUAUUUUUUAAUUUUUAAUUUAUUAAAUUAAUAUUUUUUUAUUGGGAGGGUAAUUAAAUGUUUGAACUUUAAUUUUUAUUAAACAUAGAUAAAUGAAUUUUUAAUGAUAAUUUUUAUAAUUAUAAGAAUAAAUUACCUUAGGGAUAACAGCGUAAUAAUUUUGGAAAGUUCAUAUUAAUAAAAUUGAUUGC